CGGUAAUUCCAGCUCCAAUAGCGUAUAUUAAAGUUGUUGCAGUUAAAAAGCUCGUAGUCGAUAUUCUAAGUAGCAGUUGUACGGUUUAACUGAAUAACUGCUACUUAUCAGCUCGAAAACUUUAUCGACCUUCAUUGGUUCGAUUUUGCAGAUCGGGCAUUUUACUGAGAAAAAAUUAGAGUGUUCAAAGCAGGCUAUUGUCUUGAAUACACAAGCUUGGAAUAAUAGAAUAAGACUAAUAUCUUUUUUGUUGGUUAUAAGAUUUAGUAAUGGUUAAUAGAAACAGUUGGGGGCAUUAGUAUUUAAUUKUCAGAGGUGAAAUUCUUGGAUUUAUUAAAGACUAACUUAUGCGAAAGCAUUUGCCAAGGAUGUUUUCAAUUGAUCAAGAACGAAAGUUAGGGGAUCAAAGACGAUCAGAUACCGUCCUAGUCUUAACUAUAAACGAUUCCGACUAUGGWUCGGAGGAGUCAUUUUAGCUCCUUCGGCACAUUAUGAGAAAUCAUAAGUCUUUGGGUUCCGGGGGAAGUAUGGACGCAAGUCUGAAACUUAAAGGAAUUGACGGAAGGGCACACCAGGAGAGGAACUUGCGGCUUAAUUUGACUCAACACGGGGAAACUUACCAGGUCAAGACAUGGGUAGGAUUGACAGAAAUGAGAGCUCUUUCUUGAUUCUAUGGGUGGUGGUGCAUGGCCGCUCUUAGUUGGUGGAGUGAUUUGUCUGGUUAAUUCCGUUAACGAACGAGACCUUAACCUGCUAAAUAGGAGCUGGAUGUUCAAUCCAGUGUCCUUCUUAGAGGGACUAUGUGUGCAAACGCAUGGAAGUUUGAGGCGAUAACAGGUCUGUGAUGCCCCUAGACGUCCUGGGGCCGCACGCGCGUUACAAUGACACGGUCAGCAAGUAUUUCCUGCCUCGAUAGAGGCUCGGGUAAUCUUUACAGUCCGUGUCGUAGUGGGAACUGUCCUUUGCAAUUGUAGGACACGAACUAGGAUUUCCUAGUAUAGGUGUGUCAUCAGCGCACCUAGAUUAAGUCCCUGCCCUUUGUACACACCGCCCGUCGCUCCUACCGAUUGAGUGAUUCGGUGAACCUUCUGGACUAGACGAGUCUUUACGGCUUGCCUGGGAAGUUAAGUAAACCAUUAUCACUUAGAGGAAGGAGAAGUCGUAACAAGG
rnacentral:rRNA from 1 species